UCUGAGUUUAGCCUGGUAUAUGAAAGAUUAUUAGAAAUAUGUCAGAUGAAUAUGUCUAGAAUAAGAAAGUCAGAACUGGGACAUAAUUACUGAAAAAGGCUUCCACCCUAUGGGGAGGGAACACAGUCUCUAAAGGUGGAAAUUCCCAAGAAUGACUAAGCAGGUUCAUGUAGAAAAAGAGGGAUCACCAAAACCAAGCUGUCUUGAGUUCCAUUCUAGUCACUAUAAGUCCCAUCCUUGUGUUGAAAGGUGGAAUAUCAAGCACAUAAACAUGCAGCAUACCAAACUCCUUCUAGGAACAACCUGAAGGUGCCCAUGUACUGGAGAAAUUAGUUCAUUGUGGGAAUUCCCAGUAGAACCAGUGGAAAUUUUUGACCAAUUUAAAGUUCACCUUGGCCGGUGCUUCCCAGCCUUGGGUAACCCAGGUGUUCUUGGACUGCAAUUCCCAGAAGCCUUCACUACCAGGUGUGCUGGUCAUAAUUUCUGGGAGUUGCAAUCUAAGAACACGGGGGUUACUCAAGGUUGGGAACCACUGACCUAGACAACCAACCAUAUGCAAGAAGAAUACUGCUGGAUCAGAUUAUAUGUCUGUUAUGUUCCUAUAGUGGUCAACCAGUAGCCAACCACGUAUCCUGUCGUGGCCAACAAGAUAUAUAGCAGUUCUCUAUCCUUAUUACUACCAACAUCACUUGCAGACAUAGCAUGCCUUUCCAGGACGCAUUAGCAUUUUACCCAACAAGAGAAUUCAGUAAGGAUGUUAUUUAUUUAUUUAUUUAUUUAUUUAUUUGUCUAUUUAUUUAUUUAACAUUAAGACCUUUCAAUAUUACUGGUGACUUUUUUCCCCACUGUAGAUAUUGUUUGUUCUUGCCUGUAUUAUUUUAUCUAUUUAGUUCAUACUGUGUUGGUUUUUGGUUUUUUUAGCAAGAUCUCUUUGAUGUUUAUGCUUUUCAUGUUUUUUAAAAAUGAUUUAAAAUUUUAAAACCACCUAGAGAGCUAUACUGAGUGGGUGGUAUAUAAAGGUUUGAAACAAA
rnacentral:lncRNA from 1 species